CAAAAACAUGUCUUUUAGAUAAUAAUUUAAAGUCUAACCUGCCCACUGAUUUUAUAUUUAAAGGCCGCAGUAUUUUGACUGUGCAAAGGUAGCAUAAUCAUUUGUCUUUUAAUUGAAGGCUGGAAUGAAUGGUUGAAUGAAGUAUUAACUGUCUCAUUUUAAUAAAUUAAGAAUUUAGCUUUUAAAUAAAAAGGUUUAAAUAUAAUUAAAAGACGAGAAGACCCUAUAGAUUUUUAUAUUAUUUAAUUUAAUUUAAUUAAGAAAUAAAUUUUAUUAUUAUUUUAAAUAAUAUUUGAUUGGGGUGAUUAAAAAAUUAAAAAAACUUUUUUAUAUAAAAACAUAAAUUAAUGAUUAAUUGAUCCAAUUAUAUUGAUUAAAAGAUUAAAUUACCUUAGGGAUAACAGCGUAAUUUUUUUAGAGAGUUCAUAUCGAUAAAAAAGAUUGCGACCUCGAUGUUGAAUUAAAGGUUAUUUUUAAAUGUAGUAGUUUAAAGUUUAAGUCUGUUCGACUUUUAAAUCUUUACAUGAUCU
rnacentral:rRNA from 1 species